rnacentral:rRNA from 1 species
AUUGAACGCUGGCGGCAGGCCUAACACAUGCAAGUCGAACGGUAACAGGAAACAGCUUGCUGUUUCGCUGACGAGUGGCGGACGGGUGAGUAAUGUCUGGGAAACUGCCUGAUGGAGGGGGAUAACUACUGGAAACGGUAGCUAAUACCGCAUAACGUCGCAAGACCAAAGAGGGGGACCUUCGGGCCUCUUGCCAUCGGAUGUGCCCAGAUGGGAUUAGCUAGUAGGUGGGGUAGCGGCUCACCUAGGCGACGAUCCCUAGCUGGUCUGAGAGGAUGACCAGCCACACUGGAACUGAGACACGGUCCAGACUCCUACGGGAGGCAGCAGUGGGGAAUAUUGCACAAUGGGCGCAAGCCUGAUGCAGCCAUGCCGCGUGUAUGAAGAAGGCCUUCGGGUUGUAAAGUACUUUCAGCGGGGAUGAAGGGAGUAAAGUUAAUACCUUUGCUCAUUGACGUUACCCGCAGAAGAAGCACCGGCUAACUCCGUG